GGGCCCGUGGUCUAGUUGGUUAUGACGUCGCCUUGACAAGGCGGAGGUCGUGCGUUCGAAUCGCAUCGGGCCCA
rnacentral:tRNA from 1 species